rnacentral:rRNA from 1 species
UACGUAGGGUGCAAGCGUUGUCCGGAAUUAUUGGGCGUAAAGAGCUCGUAGGCGGUCUGUUGCGUCGGCUGUGAAAACCCGGGGCUCAACUCCGGGCCUGCAGCCGAUACGGGCAGACUAGAGUUCGGCAGGGGAGACUGGAAUUCCUGGUGUAGCGGUGAAAUGCGCAGAUAUCAGGAGGAACACCGGUGGCGAAGGCGGGUCUCUGGGCCGAUACUGACGCUGGGGAGCGAAAGCGUGGGGAGCGAACAGG